ACGCUUCUUUUUCCACCGGAGCUUGCUCCACCGGAAAAAGAGGAGUGGCGAACGGGUGAGUAACACGUGGGUAACCUGCCCAUCAGAAGGGGAUAACACUUGGAAACAGGUGCUAAUACCGUAUAACAAUCGAAACCGCAUGGUUUUGAUUUGAAAGGCGCUUUCGGGUGUCGCUGAUGGAUGGACCCGCGGUGCAUUAGCUAGUUGGUGAGGUAACGGCUCACCAAGGCCACGAUGCAUAGCCGACCUGAGAGGGUGAUCGGCCACAUUGGGACUGAGACACGGCCCAAACUCCUACGGGAGGCAGCAGUAGGGAAUCUUCGGCAAUGGACGAAAGUCUGACCGAGCAACGCCGCGUGAGUGAAGAAGGUUUUCGGAUCGUAAAACUCUGUUGUUAGAGAAGAACAAGGAUGAGAGUAACUGUUCAUCCCUUGACGGUAUCUAACCAGAAAGCCACGGCUAACUACGUGCCAGCAGCCGCGGUAAUACGUAGGUGGCAAGCGUUGUCCGGAUUUAUUGGGCGUAAAGCGAGCGCAGGCGGUUUCUUAAGUCUGAUGUGAAAGCCCCCGGCUCAACCGGGGAGGGUCAUUGGAAACUGGGAGACUUGAGUGCAGAAGAGGAGAGUGGAAUUCCAUGUGUAGCGGUGAAAUGCGUAGAUAUAUGGAGGAACACCAGUGGCGAAGGCGGCUCUCUGGUCUGUAACUGACGCUGAGGCUCGAAAGCGUGGGGAGCAAACAGGAUUAGAUACCCUGGUAGUCCACGCCGUAAACGAUGAGUGCUAAGUGUUGGAGGGUUUCCGCCCUUCAGUGCUGCAGCUAACGCAUUAAGCACUCCGCCUGGGGAGUACGACCGCAAGGUUGAAACUCAAAGGAAUUGACGGGGGCCCGCACAAGCGGUGGAGCAUGGGGUUUAAUUCGAAGCAACGCGAAGAACCUUACCAGGUCUUGACAUCCUUUGACCACUCUAGAGAUAGAGCUUCCCCUUCGGGGGCA
rnacentral:rRNA from 1 species